AGAUGUUCGUUUAGGUGAUUGGAAAGCUGCUGAUGUUGAGAUUCUGAAUACUUUUCAGUUGCUCACGGCCAAGCCUGUUGUUUACUUGGUUAACAUGACGGAGAAAGAUUACCAAAGAAAAAAGAAUAAAUUUCUCCCAAAGAUUCAUGCCUGGGUGCAGGAACAUGGUGGUGAAACAAUUAUUCCUUUCAGUGGCGUGUUAGAAAGAAAUCUUGCAGAU
rnacentral:misc_RNA from 1 species